rnacentral:rRNA from 1 species
GACGGGGCCCGCACAAGCGGCGGAGCAUGCGGAUUAAUUCGAUGCAACGCGAAGAACCUUACCAAGGCUUGACAUACACCGGUAACGCCCAGAGAUGGGUGCCCCUUUGUGGUCGGUGUACAGGUGGUGCAUGGUUGUCGUCAGCUCGUGUCGUGAGAUGUUGGGUUAAGUCCCGCAACGAGCGCAACCCUCGUCCUAUGUUGCCAGCGGGUCAUGCCGGGGACUCAUGGGAGACUGCCGGGGUCAACUCGGAGGAAGGUGGGGAUGACGUCAAAUCAUCAUGCCCCUUAUGUCUUGGGCUUCACGCAUGCUACAAUGGCCGGUACAAAGGGCUGCGAUACCGCGAGGUGGAGCGAAUCCCAGAAAGCCGGUCUCAGUUCGGAUUGGGGUCUGCAACUCGACCCCAUGAAGUCGGAGUCGCUAGUAAUCGCAGAUCAGCAACGCUGCGGUGAAUACGUUCCCGGGCCUU